rnacentral:misc_RNA from 1 species
GAUGAAGAACGCAGCGAAAUGCGAUACGUAAUGUGAAUUGCAAAUUCAGUGAAUCAUCGAGUCUUUGAACGCACAUUGCGCCCCCUGGUAUUCCGGGGGGCAUGCCUGUCCGAGUGUCAUUGCUGCCCUCAAGCACGGCUUGUGUGUUGGGCCCCGUCCUCCGAUCCCGGGGGACGGGCCCGAAAGGCAGCGGCGGCACCGCGUCCGGUCCUCGAGCGUAUGGGGCUUUGUCACCCGCUCUGUAGGCCCGGCCGGCGCUUGCCGAUCAACCCAAAUUUUUUAUCCAGGUUGACCUCGGAUCAGGUAGGGAUACCCGCUGAACUUAAGCAUAUCAAUAAGCGGAGGA